rnacentral:rRNA from 1 species
ACGGCGAGUGAAGCGGGAAGAGCUCAAAUUUGAAAUCUGGUAGCCUUCGGUUGCCCGAGUUGUAAUCUAGAGAAAUGUUUUCCGUGCCGGCCCAUGUACAAGUCCCUUGGAACAGGGCGUCAUAGAGGGUGAGAAUCCCGUCCUUGACAUGGACCCCCGGUGCUUUGUGAUACAUUUUCAACGAGUCGAGUUGUUUGGGAAUGCAGCUCAAAAUGGGUGGUGAAUUCCAUCUAAAGCUAAAUAUUGGCGAGAGACCGAUAGCGAACAAGUACCGUGAGGGAAAGAUGAAAAGCACUUUGGAAAGAGAGUUAAACAGUACGUGAAAUUGUUGAAAGGGAAACGAUUGAAGUCAGUCAUGCUCUUUGGUAUUUAUAUCAUUGAGUGGGGUCAACAUCAGUUUUGAUCGAUGGAUAAAGGCACUAGGAAGGUAGCACUCUCGGGUGAACUUAUAGCCUAGCGUCAUAUACAUUGAUUGGGACUGAGGAACGCAGCAUGCCUUUAUGGCCGGGAUUCGUCCACGUACAUGCUUAGGAUGUUGACAUAAUGGCUUUAAACGACCCGUCUUGAAACACGGACC